UACGGAGGGUGCGAGCGUUGUCCGGAAUCAUUGGGCGUAAAGGGCGCGUAGGUGGCCCGGUCAGUCUUUGGUGAAAGCGCGGGGCUCAACCCUGCGUCGGCCAGGGAUACUGCCGCGGCUCGAGCACUGUAGAGGCAGGCGGAAUUCGGGUGUAGCGGUGGAAUGCGUAGAGAUCCGGAAGAACACCGGUGGCGAAGGCGGCCUGCUGGGCAGUUUAGCUGACACUGAGGCGCGACAGCGUGGGGAGCAACAGG
rnacentral:rRNA from 1 species